rnacentral:rRNA from 1 species
UGGGGGAUAUUGCACAAUGGGCGAAAGCCUGAUGCAGCGACGCCGCGUGGGGGAUGAAGGCUUUCGGGUUGUAAACCUCUUUCGCUAUCGAACAAGGCCCGCUUAGGGUGGGUUGAGGGUAGGUGGAGAAGAAGCGCCGGCUAACUACGUGCCAGCAGCCGCGGUAAUACGUAGGGCGCGAGCGUUGUCCGGAAUUAUUGGGCGUAAAGGGCUUGUAGGCUGCUUGUUGCGCCUGCUGUGAAAACGCGGGGCUUAACUUCGCGCGUGCAGUGGGUACGGGCAGGCUUGAGUGUGGUAGGGGUGACUGGAAUUCCAGGUGUAGCGGUGGAAUGCGCAGAUAUCUGGAGGAACACCGAUGGCGAAGGCAGGUCACUGGGCCAUUACUGACGCUGAGGAGAGAAAGCAUGGGUAGCGAACAGG